GCCGGGAUAGCUCAACGGCAGAGCACCUGAUUUGUAAUCAGGAUGUUGCGGGUUCAAGUCCCGCUCCCGGCU
rnacentral:tRNA from 1 species